rnacentral:rRNA from 1 species
UACAGAGGUCUCAACCGUUGUUCGGAUUCAUUGGGCGUAAAGGGUGCGUAGGCGGUCGCGCAAGUCGGAUGUGAAAUCUCAGGGCUCAACCCUGAAACUGCAUUCGAUACUGCGUGGCUAGAGUGCUGGAGGGGAGACUGGAAUUUACGGUGGAGCAGUGAAAUGCGUAGAUAUUGUGAGGAACACUAGUGGCGAAGGCGAAUCUCUGGACAGUUCCUGACGCUGAGGCACGAAGGCCAGGGGAGCAAACGGG